rnacentral:rRNA from 1 species
GAGUUUGAUCAUGGCUCAGAUUGAACGCUGGCGGCAUGCCUAACACAUGCAAGUCGCGCGGAGUGUAGCAAUACACUUAGCGGCGGACGGGUGAGGAAUACAUAGGAAUUUGCCCUUAAGCGGGGGAGUAGCCCGGGGAAACUCGGAGUAAUACCGCAUGAUGUCGAAAGACCAAAGCCGGGACCGCAAGGCCUGGCACUUUUGGAGAAGCCUAUGUCCGAUUAGCUAGUUGGUAGGGUAAUGGCCUACCAAGGCGACGAAUCGGUAACUGGUCUGAGAGGACGAUCAGUCACACCGGAACUGAGACACGGUCCGGACUCCUACGGGAGGCAGCAGUGGGGAAUAUUGGACAAUGGGCGCAAGCCUGAUCCAGCAAUGCCGCGUGUGUGAAGAAGGCC